UACAGAGGUCUCAAGCGUUGUUCGGAUUCAUUGGGCGUAAAGGGUGUGUAGGUGGCGCCGUAAGUCGGGUGUGAAAUUUCGGAGCUUAACUCCGAAACUGCAUUCGAUACUGCGGUGCUUGAGGACUGGAGAGGAGACCGGAAUUCAUGGUGUAGCAGUGAAAUGCGUAGAUAUCGUAAGGAAGACCAGUGGCGAAGGCGGGUCUCUGGACAGUUCCUGACGCUGAGGCACGAAGGUCAGGGGAGCAAACGGG
rnacentral:rRNA from 1 species